rnacentral:snRNA from 1 species
GGGUCUGAGGGUGAUUUGACAUCUGUCACCCCACUGAUUGCUAGGGUUGAUGUGGUUGAUCUGGCUGGCUAGGCAAGUGUUCACUUCCUUCAUCAACACUCCAUGUGUGUCUUGAGGAAUUUCCCAUCUAUUCCCAUUUUUUGUAGUGUUUUGAGCAUGAAUGGUGUUGGAUUUUGUCAAAGGCUC